rnacentral:misc_RNA from 1 species
UUAACUUAUUUGUAUAUUCCUCAGACAACACAAAAAUCAAGAGUUUAGGGUCCUCUGGCAGGCACAGACCAGCCUAAGCCGGUGGUCAUAAGACGGGCCUGCCAAAGCAACAAAGGUAAUGUAAACAAAGGGUGGGAGAUCUACCCCAAAAGGGCAAUUUCUCUGUAAUGAUCCUUCCGCAGGUUCACCUACGGAACACAUGGUCUACAACCUUUUCAGAGGUAGGCCGGUCAUAUCUAAAUCCAAGACAGGUUGGUGUUGUUGGACCACCUUCGUUUGAUCUGUGGACUGCUAUCAGCAGCUGCAUGUUACCCUGAUGGUAUUCAAGCACAGUGAAGAUGUUGCCUACAUAGGUAGACUGGUUAUCCAAGGCUUCUGCAGGUGGUGUUCCUCAAGAGAAA